rnacentral:rRNA from 1 species
AUGGCACCUGCAACAACUCUCCGCUCUCUUCCUCCACAUGGCAUCCUCGCUCUCUUCACCCAUCUUCUCAUAUUGUUCUCGUCCAACACCGUCGCACAAUCCAUCAGCAACGGGUCCGAGGUCGACCGGCAGGCCCUCCUCUCCUUCAAGUCCAGCAUCUCCAGUGAUCCGCGUGGUGUCCUGUCAUCAUGGAGCACCUCGACCAGCUUCUGCAGCUGGAGAGGUGUCACCUGCGGUAUUACUCUUCCAACUCGUGUGGUCUCGCUGAACUUGAACUCUAGAGAACUUACUGGGCAGUUAUCUCCUUGGAUAGCUAAUCUUACGUCACUAGAACAGUUAGACCUUUCAGAAAAUCUCUUCUCUGGAGGCAUUCCAGAGGAGUUAGGCACACUUCAGCAGCUACAGUUUAUGAUCCUUUCAACGAACAACCUUGUAGGUACCAUUCCUAGAUCAUUAGGCACUAGUAGAUCUCUUAAAAAUGUUGAUCUCUCAUCAAACCAGCUUGUCGGCCCUAUCCUAGGUUUCCAUAAGAGGUCAAACCUUCAAUUUCUUGAUCUUUCAAGUAACAACCUUUCUGGAAGCAUACCUUCAUCAUUGGGAAAUGUUUCUUCUCUCACAUAUAUAUGUCUUGACACAAACAUGUUAUCGGGUUCAGUUCCAGAGACUCUGAGCCUUAUUCAGAACCUUAGGAUGCUCAGUUUAAGUAACAACUACCUGUCGGGCCACGUCUCCGCCAAACUCUGUAACAUGUCAUCACUCAUUUAUCUUCGAUUAGACCAGAAUAAUCUUACUGGACGAGUACCAUCUUGCAUUGGAAACACGUUACAGAACCUUAAAUUACUGUCCAUGUCGGGUAACAAAUUCGAGGGAUUAAUUCCAUCAUCGCUAGCAAAUGCAUCGAAUCUCCGAUGGAUUGAUCUUGGACACAACUUAUUAGAGGGGCGGAUCCCAUCUCUAGGAUCUUUAUCUAACUUAACCUUUCUAAAUUUAGAAAGUAACUUCCUACAAGCUGAAGGUUGGGAAUUCCUUGUGUCUCUGACAAACUGUGCGCGACUUCAGGCAUUGCAUAUGAAUGGAAAUGCCCUGAAUGGAAAUAUCCCUAUAUCAGUUGGAAAUCUUUCUAGAAGUUUAGUGCGUUUAAUUCUUGGAAACAAUCAAAUUGUCGGCACAAUACCAGUUGAGAUUGUUAACCUUCGAAACCUCCAAAUGCUUGAUAUGGGCCAAAACUUGCUUUCCGGUGUUAUUCCCUCUGUUAUUGGGAAUCUAGGCCAUCUGAUUGUCCUAAUCCUAUCAGGAAACAAAUUUUCUGGCCAGAUCCCAUCUACAAUAGGUAAUCUUUCUCGGCUGAACAAGCUUUAUCUACACAACAAUGAGUUGACUGGGAACAUCCCAGCAACUUUAGGAAAUUGCAAGCAACUGUAUAUGCUAGAAUUAUAUUUUAACAGCCUUGAAGGACCAAUACCAAGUGAACUCUUCAGUAGCACAACCCUGAUCGGUUUGGAUUUGUCAAACAACUACCUUACAGGAUCAAUACCACUACAAAUCGGUGCAUUGCUUCAACUUCUCCGACUCGAUAUUUCCUUCAACAAAUUGUCUGGUCAAGUUCCACUUACAUUUGGCGAAUGCGUCCAACUAUCUUCUCUCAGAUUGAGAAGUAACAUGCUUACUGGAAGCAUACCUCGAUCAUUCAGUAACCUGAAGUCCAUCGAGCAGAUCGAUCUUUCCCAGAACUCCCUUGUUGGAAAAAUUCCAGAGUUCUUUGCAAACAUGGAUUAUUUGCAGCAACUUUAUCUUUCUAUGAACUACUUUGAAGGGCCGAUUCCAACUGGUGGCAUCUUUCAGAAUCAUAGUGCGGUAAACUUGGAAGGCAAUGAUGAGCUUUGUGCAAGUGCAGCCACCACCUUAUAUCAAUUCCCAGUUUGCACAACAACAUCAGCUGUUGGGAGCAAGAAGAAUGCACUCUUAUUGGUAAAAGUAAUUCCUCCCGUUGCCAUUGCCCUGAUCUCUUUCAUAUACUUUGUGGUCACUCUUCUGAAGAGAAGGCAAGCAGAAACAAUUACAUGCUACAAGGAGACAAUGAAGAAGAUUUCUUAUGGUGACAUCGUCAAAGCUACCAACUGGCUCUCUCCGAUUAACAAGAUCAGCUCAAGUCGCACCGGCUCGAUCUACAUUGGAAGGUUUGAGUUUGACACGGACUUGGUCGCUAUCAAGUUAUUCCAUCUCGAAGAGAAUGGUGCGCAUGACAGCUUCGCUACCGAGUGCGAGGUGUUGCGAAACACCCGCCAUCGCAAUCUUGUCAAAGCUGUCACCGUAUGCUCGACAGUGGACCUAGAGAACAAUGAAUUCAAGGCUAUAGUUUUCGACUUCAUGGCCAACGGAAGCUUGGACAUGUGGGUGCACCCGAAGCUACACAACAAUAGCCCCAAGAGAGUACUGAGCUUGGGUCAGAGGUUAAGAAUAGCGAUGGACGUCGCGUUGGCUCUGGAUUAUAUGCACAACCAGUUAACGCCUCCUCUAAUCCACUGUGAUUUGAAGCCCGGAAAUGUUCUUUUGGACUAUGAUAUGACCGCAAGGGUUGGUGAUUUUGGGUCAGCGAGGUUUCUCUCUUCUACCCCUGGUAGUCCAGAAGACUUGGUUGGUGUGGAAGGAACAAUUGGAUAUAUCGCACCCGAGUACUGUAUGGGAUACAAAGUUUCACCAGGAUGUGAUGUUUAUGGUUUUGGAAUCCUCCUUCUAGAAAUGCUUACUGGAAGGCGACCGACGGAUGCAAUGUUCACCGGUGGCCUGAGCCUGCACAAGCUUGUGAGCUCAGCAUUUCCAGGCAGACUCAGAGAGGUUUUAGAUCCCCAUUUGUCCCACGAGCAGCAGCGUGCGUGUGACAGAGUGCUUAUGCGGAGAUAUAUGGUACCUCUGGUUGAAGUUGGCCUCCUGUGUUCCACGGAAUCGCCUAAAGAUCGACCGGGAAUGGGAGAAGUUUGUGCCAGAAUUUUGUGUCUCAAAGAGGCAUUCUUUGAGUUCUGCUGA